rnacentral:lncRNA from 1 species
AGUGGAAGUCGAAACAGACUUUUAUUUUAAAAAGUAUUCUUGAUAAUGUGUUCAAAGACUGCCCUGGCUACAGCCCAGGACUGGCAGUAAAUACAACCAGCUUUGGGGAGGAAUCUCCCUCUGGGGAAUGUGGAAUCACAGAUGCUGACAGCCCAAAGGAGGCACUGGAAACAGGUGAGUGAAACUCCUGGGGAGAAUCUUAGCUGAGGAAUUAGCUAGGGAAACUCCCUAAGCAUGAAGGUUUCUAUGGCAGAUCAGGAUCACUUACCCUUUCAAGCACUCAGGUUUUGUUUGCAGGCAAAUUGUUUACACAAUCAGAGGACUCAGUUGCCAGGAAACAGUCAAUGUCCCCAGCUCAUUAGUCUGAUGGCAAAUAAAUCUACCAAUAUCAAGGCACCGGGCCUGGUCCCUGAGCCAAGAUCAAGUCCAAUUGAUGCUGUGGAUAAUUUCCUACGUGGCUUUUUUUUUUUUUUUGAGACAGAGUCUCGUUCUGCUGCCCAAGCUGGAAUGCGUACAAUCUCGGCUCACUGCAACCUCCACCUCCCAGAUUCAAGCGAGUGCCUCAGCCUCCUGAGUAGCUGAGAUUAUAGGCGCUCACCACCACACCCAGCUAUUUUUUUUUUUUUUAGUAGAGACAGGGUUUCACCAUGUUGCCCAGGUUGGUCACAAAUCCUGGCCUCAAGUGAUCGGCCCGCCUAGGCCUCCCAAAGUGCUGGGAUUACAGGCGUGAGCCACCGCGCCCAGCUGGCUUCUUCCUUUUCAAAGGCCUCCCUCAUCUUGUCAGUCAUUUCCUUGCUGACUUCAGUCUGUUCAUAUUCCCCUUCUAUUUGCUUUCUGAAGACAUCCAGGGUUUGAACAGGAGAGUCUUAGCCACUAGGAGAAAGGUGAUGUGUGCUAAAUUUUGCUUUCAGGAUCAUGGAACUUUGAAGCCGUGAGGGAGGAACUUUCUGUUCCCCUGAAGUUUCUGAACUGCUUCUGCAAGUGUGGUCUGGGAACGAUCCUCUGGGCUGUAUGCUUUG